UACGUAGGGCGCAAGCGUUGUCCGGAAUUAUUGGGCGUAAAGAGCUCGUAGGCGGUCUGUUACGUCCGCUGUGAAAACCCAGGGCUUAACCCUGGGCUUGCAGUGGAUACGGGUAGACUAGAGGCAGGUAGGGGAGAAUGGAAUUCCCGGUGUAGCGGUGAAAUGCGCAGAUAUCGGGAGGAACACCGGUGGCGAAGGCAGCUCUCUGGGACGGUACUGACGUCAGACGACGACGAAGCGGUGGGAGCGAACAGG
rnacentral:rRNA from 1 species